GUUGUGUAAUGAGGUGGAGUCAGUCAUAACAAAUAAAACCUGCCGCCAGUCACACCGUAGAAUCCACGUCCUUUUACAACACGAGAGAUUCCUACGCGACUCGCAACUCACAUCAGCGGAAGCACAAUGAACAUAUGGAGUGCACUGGGCCUGUUGUGCCUUAUAUUUCUUGCAAAUGGAAUGACCACAGCGGACGACUCUCAGGGGGAGCAGCCACAGUGUGACCAAUAUACGUUACCGUUUUGUACACGUGAAUAUGAGCCGGUUUGUGGAACCGAUGGCACAAUUUAUUCGAAUGAAUGCAUGUUGUGUUUCGCCAACAGUGAAGGACCAAAGACGGACGUUUUAAUCAAAAGCAGAGGGGCAUGUUAAGGGUGAAAAUGAAUAUCCCAUGAUGUAGGCCUACUGCUACUCCUACUGGGUCUAUGUCAUGAUGUUUAAAUUAAACAUUCAUUUAAACUUUGA